rnacentral:lncRNA from 1 species
GGGUACGGAAGAGCCUGUUGCAGAUUUAAGACCGCUAGCCAAGCCUCAUCGGGGACCCGCGACUACUUGAUCCUGGUAACUAAGUGCACUCAGGUGACACUCGGACGCCCAGCAGAACGCCCACAAGUUCAGAGCCGCAGCUCGUGGGUGCAGCUUGCCCCUGGGACGAAACGCCCCUCCCUGAACUGCGGACUGUUCUCACCUGCACUUUCCUAUGCCCCACGGCGUGAGAGCCUUCUUCGCACCCACGUUCCAUCUCCCCCACAGGAGGCGGGUGGUUUAAACCUCACGCUCAGUCUGUGCGCCCAGCGAGCGCCGGCCGGGGAGCCGCGCGCGCGGGUGAGAGCGGGUCCCCCGGAUCGUAGAGUCCGGGACACCGAAGUGAGGGCACGGAGGCUUCCCGCCCCAGGCCGCCUACCCUUGCUACCCCCUGCCCCUCCCCGCCCCCCUGGCUGGGGCUGGUGGUGGUUCGCUUCCCGAGCAGGGGAGAAGCUGCCGCAGGAAAGCAGGGGCACAGCGGCCGCGCAGAGAGGCGCGGGAAGCUCGAGGUGCAACAGGAGCAGGGGGACCUGGCCCGUCGCGGCACCAGCUCGGGGUAACGCCAGGAAGAGCGCCGUAGCCGCUACGCAGCGCCACGCACGAGCGGCCGGCUGCUGCUGGUGGGCGGCUGUUACCAUUCGGAAUUACAAGCCGGGCGGUUACACCAGGCACGCCAGGUGCUCGCGUCCUGGGAAGGAGGAAGGCAGUGGGGCACCAGGACACGCGGAGACCGGGGGGGGGGGGCGCAGGAGGGGAGAAGAAACAUCCCUCCUUAGCCGCGCGGGUGUCCAAGAGGGGCUGUGGGGGACAGCUCUGGCCUGGUGCCUGCGCACCCAACCCGCCCAGCCAGCUCGCCGCCGAGCCCGGGCGCCCGGGGUUGUAGGGAGGGCGGGGGAGGAGGCGGCCUCGGACGGCGGCCGGGCGCGGUGCCCGUGGGACGUGCGGACCCGGCGCGAGGGGCUCACCUGGCGGGCGCUCGGCCGGCCGCGCGUCUGCUCCAUGCCUGCGGCGGGCACGGGGCUGCCGCACCCCGCGCCCCGCGCCUCGCGCCCACGGCAAGGGUCUGGUCGUUCCGAGGGACUCUGGCCGGGAGCCUGA